GCACUGCUGAGGAGUCAAAAAAAUUGGACGAAACGGCCGUCCAGUGC
rnacentral:hammerhead_ribozyme from 1 species